UGGGGAAUUUUGGACAAUGGGCGAAAGCCUGAUCCAGCCAUGCCGCGUGAGUGAAGAAGGCCUUCGGGUUGUAAAGCUCUUUCAGACGGAAAGAAAACUUCUGGGCUAAUACCCUGGGAGGAUGACGGUACCGUAAGAAGAAGCACCAACUAACUACGUGCCAGCAGCCGCGGUAAUACGGAGGGUGCAAGCGUUAAUCGGAAUUACUGGGCGUAAAGCGUGCGCAGGCGGUUAUAUAAGAUAGAUGUGAAAUCCCCGGGCUCAACCUGGGACCUGCAUUUGUGACUGUAUAGCUAGAGUACGGUAGAGGGGGAUGGAAUUCCGCGUGUAGCAGUGAAAUGCGUAGAUAUGCGGAGGAACACCGAUGGCGAAGGCAAUCCCCUGGACCUGUACUGACGCUCAUGCACGAAAGCGUGGGGAGCAAACA
rnacentral:rRNA from 1 species